rnacentral:lncRNA from 1 species
CGUUUUCCGAAAUCGCGAACAUUUAUCAAGAACACCACUGCAUAAGUUUGUAAAUAUAUUGAUGAUUAACUGGAUAAAUAAACAAAGAUGUGCCUUGCGUAGGUAUACUCUCAAUUGAUUUCGAUUUGGAUAAGCAUCUCAUCUUCUAAAGUUAACUUGGUAUUGGUAGAAAUAUUCACCUCAUACACUUUAUCACUAUGUUUAUGUGGAUAACACCUCGAAGCAAAUAUUACAUAGCUUGGGCUAUGCUACUUCUGAUUUUUUCUGGCAAGUCAAAAUGUGACUAUGAAGACCUCGAGCCUGGACAGUGUGUUUCUAGAUUCGACUACGAUUAUAAAGUGAUGCAGAAAUUGUUGCAGUUUGAAACAAAAAUAGAAGCACAGGCUAGAGAAAUCGAAGAGCUGAGGCAGCGAAAUACAUUUACAGAUUCUCAGAAGGUUGUUUUCAUGGCAGAGUUGUCAAAAUCCAUCAUUGAUCCGCCGACUGGUACAAUAUUGUUGUUUUUGAUACCGUCCAUACGAAUUACGGAGAUGGCUACAAACCUGGGCCGGGGAUUUUCGUUCCUCCUGUGACUGGCACAUACAACGUAAACCUUGUUGCAAGUUCGAGUACAAAAUCAACUUCAGAAUAUCUGCACUUAUACAUUAUGCACAACACGUCACAGGUGGGAUAUAUCUUCCUGGAUCAAAAUUCAGACUAUUCCUUGAUAAGAUCGACGGCACUUGUCCUGGAAUUGCAUGCCGGUGAUGCCGUGUUUGUUAAAGUUGGAAGAAGUUCACGGAAAGGAAGAAUCGAAGGAUGUUGCUUUCAUACACUUUUCAGUGGUUUUCUUAUUAAAUAAUACUACACCAGAAUUAACAAAGCCUGAUUAUUUGUCUGACACUCAAAAGUAAAGUAAUAAAAUAAUAGUAUUUCAUAAUAAACCUUUUUUCCAUUCCGAUUACAUAUAAUACAAAUCUACAAAUUGAGUUAGUCUAUGAAAUUCUCUGAACACUUUACAAUACCGUUCACACACAUCUUCAAGUCUGAAAAGUUUUAAAAUCAGCAGCUAAACAGGAAAGACAGUUCAUUAAAAGAUCAUAAUGACUGGUUAUACAGUGGCGGCAAAAUCUUUCUUAUGAAAAGAAAUAAAAUGAUUUCGUUUUAUUUCCUUUUUUCGGUUAUUGAUAUCUUAUACAUAUGGCACAGGCUUGAGUAUUUGAUUAACGUAAUGGAAAGGAGUAUGAAUCCAUUUUAUUUCCUUCCUUUAUAAGUUUAUGUGCAACAUUACAUUAGUCCUUUUCUAACCGUG